CACCAUCCCAUCUCCCGUUGCAGCUUUUUCUGAUGGAGCUCGCCUCCGUCCACUCGCCGGUUCCAGCUCCGAUCCAACCCCUGCUGGAUGCCGAUUUGCAAGAAUUCUACGCAUCAGCUGACGGAGACAAAAAAAUAAGUUGGAUUGCAACUUCGCUCCCGUUGGUCGCCGCUGUAGUUGACUUGCACCACCGUGCUCUAGCAAAACAGAAUCUCACAGCAAAAACUCAAAUACAUGGUUGAAGCAAAAAACGGAGCCGGUUCCAGCAAAAAUUAACACCGGUUCCAGCAAACAAAUUUCAGCAGACAAAAAGUCCAGUAAUAUGUUGAAUCAAAAAAUCAGCCGAUUCCAACAAAAAAUGAAGCCAGUUCCAGCAAACAAAAAAUUCAGCAACAAAAAGUCUAGUAAUCUGUUGAAGCAAAAGAUUAGCGGAUUCCAGCAAAAAAUUACACCGGUUCCAGCAAAAAAUACCUCGCUACAAAAACACUAGUAGAGGGUUGUAGCAAAAAAAAGGUGGUUGAAGCAUCCCUGGCCGCCGGUUGUAGCAUCUGCCGCCGCUGAUUGUAGCGUCUGCCGUCGCCGUAUCCAGCAAAAUCCUCGAUGUGCCAUGAUCCAGUCACAUCAUCUCUUGGCGUUGGAUGUAGCACCCGUAGUGGCCGAUUCCAACAUCUUCACUACUCGAAACUCGCCGUAUAACCCCCCGUUGCAGUCUUGCCAAGCCCCGCCGGAGGAGGAGGAAGCAGCCAUAGCGGCGAUGAUGGUGAAAUAGCAGUGGCCUAACAGUGCCGAUGUGCGGUGCUCACAACACCCCUGCGCAGGGCUCCCCAGCACACAUCUUCACCUGAAAAGUGCAGUCGCCGGCCAUGGCGGGCUGAGAGAUCGAUGUGAGAUGGUGGCUGGUUGUUUGAAGAAGAAAGAGGAAUAGACGAGAGAGGUGGAGAAAAG
rnacentral:rRNA from 1 species